UACGAAGGGGCUAGCGUUGCUCGGAUUGACUGGGCGUAAAGGGCGCGUAGGCGGCUUGUACAGUCAGACGUGAAAUUCCUGGGCUCAACCUGGGGCUGCGUUUGAUACGUAUGAGCUUGAGUUCGGAAGAGGGUCGUGGAAUUCCCAGUGUAGAGGUGAAAUUCGUAGAUAUUGGGAAGAACACCGGUGGCGAAGGCGGCGACCUGGUCCGAUACUGACGCUGAGGUGCGAAAGCGUGGGGAGCAAACAGG
rnacentral:rRNA from 1 species